rnacentral:misc_RNA from 1 species
GAACGCACCUUGCGCCUUUUGGUAUUCCGAAAGGCAUGCCUGUUUGAGUGUCAUGAAAUCUCAAUCCCCCUGGGUUUCUGAUCUGGGUUGGGACUUGGACUUGGGUGCUGCCGCUUACAUGGCUCACCUCAAAUGACUUAGUGGAUCUCUCUGCAUCCGUGACAGACGUAAUAAGUUUCGUCUUGUCCCUUGCUGUCUGAGUCUGCUCCUAACCUGCCAUUGUGCACUUUUAGACUCUGACCUCAAAUCAGGUAGGACUACCCGCUGAACUUAAG